GCGACUGUGGCUGUGGCUGGUUGGGCUUUCAUGUGAGAGCCCCGGGCCAGCUCCCCAGGUGACUCCUGACUGCAUACACGCUCAUGUGCUCACAGACACUCCCAAAGGCCCAGCACGGCAGGUCUCAGAUGUGCUCGCCCUCUGUUUUUCUCGCUCCCCACUGGUGAGUGAGCUGUGGUCUCAGGGACGCCCCUUAGCAGCUGCUUGACCACGGGCAGGUCUUCACUUCUCUGCAGUUCAGUUCCCUCCUCUCAAAACUGGCAAAACAAUAGUAACUACUUGAUUGGGGUGAUAUGAGCUAACUAAAUGAGUUAAUUUCUAUAAAGUCCUGACAACAAUAUUGGCAUACAGCAAAUGUCAGGAUGAUUUUAGCUCUUCUUGUUAUAAUUACAGAUCUGACUGAAUAAAUCUAAAGUCCAGAGGCUGGAGGAACAGGUGGGUCAGGAAGCAGUUAUGGGAGAAUAAAGGAAAAGAUUUCCGGAACUCUUUCAGAGCACACACAGAACAGCAGGCCACAGCUUUUCCCGGGGCUCAGCUUGGCCCCCUGUUAGCCGAGGCGGGUGCACCCCGAGGACCCCAUGUGGUUGAUCACCUACUUCCCUUCUGAGAGGGCCUUGUUCUGCUGGUCAGCCUCUUAGCUGAACACCCUGAAGGAAAGGUGUAAGGUAUAAGGCUCACUCAUCUCUCAGUGGGGAGGCCUUUCCUUCAACUCAAAUAAUUACAUGUGGAUGCCUCUAGGGGAGCCUCAACAUCCG
rnacentral:lncRNA from 1 species